GACGAACGCUGGCGGCGUGCUUAACACAUGCAAGUCGAGCGGUAAGGCCCUUCGGGGUACACGAGCGGCGAACGGGUGAGUAACACGUGAGCAAUCUGCCCUUCUCUUUGGAAUAACCAUUGGAAACGAUGGCUAAUGCCGAAUAUGAACCCCUUUCGCAUGUUGGGGGUUGGAAAGCUCCGGCGGAGAAGGAUGAGCUCGCGGCCUAUCAGCUUGUUGGUGAGGUAAUGGCUCACCAAGGCAUUGACGGGUAGCCGGCCUGAGAGGGUGACCGGCCACACUGGGACUGAGACACGGCCCAGACUCCUACGGGAGGCAGCAGUGGGGAAUAUUGGACAAUGGGCGAAAGCCUGAUCCAGCAACGCCGCGUGAGGGAUGACGGCCUUCGGGUUGUAAACCUCUUUCAGCAGGGACGAAGCGAAAGUGACGGUACCUGCAGAAGAAGGACCGGCCAACUACGUGCCAGCCGCCGCCGUAACAC
rnacentral:rRNA from 1 species